AUUGAACGCUAGCGGGAUGCUUUACACAUGCAAGUCGAACGGCAGCGCGGACUUCGGUCUGGCGGCGAGUGGCGAACGGGUGAGUAAUGUAUCGGAACGUGCCCAGUAGCGGGGGAUAACUACGCGAAAGCGUAGCUAAUACCGCAUACGCCCUACGGGGGAAAGCAGGGGAUCGUAAGACCUUGCACUAUUGGAGCGGCCGAUAUCGGAGUAGCUAGUUGGUGAGGUAACGGCUCACCAAGGCGACGAUCCGUAGCUGGCUUGAGAGGACGACCAGCCACACUAGGACUGAGACACGGCCCAGACUCCUACGCGAGGCAGCAGUGGGGACUGUUGGACAAUGAGGGCAACCCUGAUCCAGCCAGCCCGCGUGGGCGAUGAAGGCCUUCGGGUUGUAAAGCACUUUUGGCAGGAAAGAAACGUCGCGGGCUAAUACCCCGUGGAACUGACGGUACCUGCAGAAUAAGCACCGGCUAACUACGUG
rnacentral:rRNA from 1 species